rnacentral:rRNA from 1 species
AGCAGUGGGAAACUACUGGUAAUACCGCAUGAUACUUUAGAGUUAAAACUACGCUGAAUUUUAUAGCUUGUGCUAAAAGACGGGCCUGCGUUAGAUUAGCUUGUUGGUAAGGUAACGGCUUACCAAGGCAACGAUCUAUAGCUGUUCUGAGAGGAAGAUCAGCCACACUGGGACUGAGACACGGCCCAGACUCCUACGGGAGGCAGCAGUGGGGAAUAUUGCACAAUGGGCGCAAGCCUGAUGCAGCCAUGCCGCGUGUGUGAAGAAGGCUCUAGGGUUGUAAAGCACUUUCAGCAAGGAGGAAAGGGUGAUAGUUAAUACCUGUCAUCUGUGACGUUACUCGCAGAAGAAGCACCGGCUAACUCCGU